GACGAACGCUGGCGGCGUGCUUAACACAUGCAAGUCGAACGGAAAGGCCCUGCUUUUGCGGGGUGCUCGAGUGGCGAACGGGUGAGUAACACGUGAGUAACCUGCCCUUGACUUUGGGAUAACUUCAGGAAACUGGGGCUAAUACCGGAUAGGAGCUCCUGCUGCAUGGUGGGGGUUGGAAAGUUUCGGCGGUUGGGGAUGGACUCGCGGCUUAUCAGCUUGUUGGUGGGGUAGUGGCUUACCAAGGCUUUGACGGGUAGCCGGCCUGAGAGGGUGACCGGCCACAUUGGGACUGAGAUACGGCCCAGACUCCUACGGGAGGCAGCAGUGGGGAAUAUUGCACAAUGGGCGGGAGCCUGAUGCAGCAACGCCGCGUGCGGGAUGACGGCCUUCGGGUUGUAAACCGCUUUCGCCUGUGACGAAGCGUGAGUGACGGUAAUGGGUAAAGAAGCACCGGCUAACUACGUG
rnacentral:rRNA from 1 species